GUACAUGUCAACACAACAUGGUGCGGCUCUCGGGCCAUGGCUCAUAAAACCUACAAGCUCUCAGUCUCACGUCAGAAUUAGACUUUCACCCAUGUUUUCCAAACGUAACAUUUCAACUAGUUUAAGGUUAAGUUUAGGCAUAAACAUCAACUGGUUAAGGUAAGGGUUCAUGUUUGGGAUAGGCUUAAAACAAAAAUGUAAAAAACAACUUUCUAUUGCUGGAUUCAAACGGGCAACCUUUGGAAUCAGAGGCAGACACUUACUCGAAGGUAACAACGCUCACUGUUGCCCCGAGUGGCCGGUUUCCACGUCAUCUCCUGGCGUCCUCAGACAUGGAUGGACUUUGAAUACUGACUUGUAUCAGGGGUGACCUGCCUGUAUAAAACACCUGCAUGCUACAGGUGUGUAUAUUAUGUGGGUGAUCAACAUCAUGUAAUUAACAUUCAUCUCCUGCAGCUACUAAUGACAUUCAUAAUUGCCAACAUGAGGCAUGUUUAACUAGCAUAAGUUGUUUAAGUGUAUGCUUAGAGGCAAUGUGUUUGAAUGCUUUGAGGUAACACUCUCUUCCACAGUAUGGAAAACAGCCCUGUAUCUUGCCAACUCCAUUGAUCCCAAAAUGCAUCAGAUUAGCCGGGUGGCCACAAAGGGAAGGAAUUAAUAUAUAUAUAUAUUUACAGAAACGAUCAGCGGUUUACCGGCCAAAACAUCAGUUCAUGACUAUCAGGGUCAGGUGAGAUCUCAUCAUCGGGGUCUCCCUUCCCUACCUGUCCCUACCACAGGGGCUGGUAGCAGCGUCGGCGGUGACCAGGAGUGGUCAGCUAACCAUUUCGACCCAGGGGAGCGCUUCUGAAGAAGGGGGAUUACCUUGAUCCAGCCCCCGACACUCCAGACCCAAACAAAAGAUGGAACUCCUGAGCUCAGAGCCCCUCGGGCCCCCGGUGCGUUAAUCCCAUUCCAGCUGGACACAAUCCGUCUGGCCAGAGCCCACACUGAGGCACUAAGCUCCCAUAAGAGGCUUGGAGGAGAAGUCAGACAGCUCGUCAAGGAUGAGGACUUAAUUAGCCAUGCAAAGUCAACCUGGCUAAUUGAAAAAAUCUCAUCGAGUGGCGUCCCAAGAGAGGAGCGCGCUCUUGUUUACUUCGUCCCAAGGUGUUUUGUUGCUUUGUGCCGAGAAAUGCCAGAGAUGUGGAUGAGGUACCCCGCUGCUUCACACGUAGGCCGAGUCCAAAGGAAUUCUGAUGAGAGCCAAGGCUUUGCCAACAUACUGGAUCUUGGACUUCUACAGCUAGUCUGGCAUGACUGGAUUCAUCUAUGGGCUUCUUCUUCACCUUUUGAGGUUUCCAGUGAGAAUCCUAACAAACGGCAGGUCUUAUGGAGGGCUGCUUUCUCUCCGGGGUGCGUCAGCUGAAACCUGAGGAAAGAAGGGGGCAGCACCCCAUAUGGAAAGAUUUAGAGAUGGAUCGAGAGUUCUGAAGGGCACAGCGGCCUGAAAUGACAUACCAGAUGCUAAGGGCAUCUCUCCAGAAACGUAAUGAAAGCCAAUAGUAAUACGCACUGCUGCAGCCACACAUGCCUUCCUGCUUCCUACUCGUCAUAGAUACAACAGUGAAGAUGGACUCUAAAUAAAAGGUGGCUUUGAUGAUGCGUUCUCAUAAAUCUGGGUCCUGCAUUCUCCUCUGACACCAGGACUGACACAGAUCAACUGGAUUCCCAGUGAGUUUAGUUUUCUGUCAGGUAUCAGAACACACAGGAACUAGUGAAUGAGCCUUGGCUGUAAUGGUCACAUCAAAGACAAUAGGUUAGCUAGCGGAAUGGGGAGAGAGCAUGAAAAUUGGCCUAAAAUUCAGUGGUAUGCAAAUCAAGUCAGCCACAGACACACACAGACAGAGGACCCAGACCCAGUGGCAUGCCUCUUUCAGGGAUCAUUAAGUGAUUGCGGCAGGUUGUUUUUGCCCCGGAUGUCCCUCUCCAUCUGUCCUCUAUAGCCACUCAUUAGUGUGGUAUUCCUAAGGGACUGCAGCCUCAGGCCAGGGAGACCCGUGUGUCUGAACCUGAGAGCUGAUAACGCUGAGGCCUGGUCGGGACGGCGGUACCCCUGACCUCCGACUCACUCAAGAGGGUCCCUCUCCCUCUUUCCCUUUCAUCCUCACUAGUUAUUCAUAUUAACGUCAACUAACAUAUUGUGGUCAAUGCAUCGGACUGGGUGAUUCAUUGUGACAACAUUGUAAUUGUAUCAGUACCCGGUCAGGACUGAGAAAUAUAAAUAGUCACCCAUACCCAAAAUAUGCUAAUUCAUUUUACUUGCGAUUUCAACUUGAAUGUGCCAUUGUGUGUGUAUUGUAAUAUCCAUGUAUUUCAGUGUCUUUGAAUGUCAUGUGGAUAUCAAUAAAAACCUAAACUUGUUCUCCAACAAACAGCAUUGAAG
ensembl:lncRNA